CAGCCGCCACGGGAAUACGGAGGGGGCUAGCGUUGUUCGGAAUUACUGGGCGUAAAGCGCACGUAGGCGGCUUGGUAAGUUAGAGGUGAAAGCCCGGAGCUCAACUCCAGAAUUGCCUUUAAGACUGCCGAGCUAGCAGGUGAGAGAGGUAAGUGGAAUUCCGAGUGUAGAGGUGAAAUUCGUAGAUAUUCGGAAGAACACCAGUGGCGAAGGCGGCUUACUGGCUCAUACUGGACGCUGAGGUGCGAAAGCGUGGGGAGCAAACAGGAUUAGAGACCCCUGUAGUCCCUGUCUCUUAUAC
rnacentral:rRNA from 1 species